rnacentral:rRNA from 1 species
ACGGAGGGUGCAAGCGUUAUCCGGAUUCACUGGGUUUAAAGGGUGCGUAGGAGGGCAGGUAAGUCAGUGGUGAAAUCUCCAAGCUUAACUUGGAAACUGCCGUUGAUACUAUCUGUCUUGAAUAUUGUGGAGGUGAGCGGAAUAUGUCAUGUAGCGGUGAAAUGCUUAGAUAUGACAUAGAACACCAAUUGCGAAGGCAGCUCACUACACAAUCAUUGACUCUGAGGCACGAAAGCGUGGGGAUCAAACAGGA